rnacentral:ncRNA from 5 species
UACCUGGUUGAUCCUGCCAGUAUCAUAU